UUAAAGGAAUUCGACGGGGCCGCGACAAGCGGUGGAGCAUGUGGUUAAUUCGAAGCAACGCGAAGAGCCUUACCAGGCCUUGACAUGCAGAGAACUUUCCAGAGAUGGAUUGGUGCCUUCGGGAACUCUGACACAGGUGCUGCAUGGCUGUCGUCAGCUCGUGUCGUGAGGUGUUGGGUUAAGUCCCGUAACGAGCGCAACCCUUGUCCUUAGUUACCAGCACGUUAUGGUGGGCACUCUAAGGAGACUGCCGGUGACAAACCGGAGGAAGGUGGGGAUGACGUCAAGUCAUCAUGGCCCUUACGGCCUGGGCUACACACGUGCUACAAUGGUCGGUACAAAGGGUUGCCAAGCCGCGAGGUGGAGCUAAUCCCAUAAAACCGAUCGUAGUCCGGAUCGCAGUCUGCAACUCGACUGCGUGAAGUCGGAAUCGCUAGUAAUCGUGAAUCAGAAUGUCACGGUGAAUACGUUCCCGGGCCUU
rnacentral:rRNA from 1 species